GGUUGUGUAGUGUAGUGGUGAUCACUCCGGAUUUUGAUUGAACAUUAAAGUUAAAAGCUUCCGGCGACCCCGGUUCGAUCCCGGGCACGACCU